GAUGAAGAACGCAGCGAAAUGCGAUAAGUAGUGUGAAUUGCAGAAUUCAGUGAAUCAUCGAAUCUUUGAACGCACAUUGCGCCCUUUGGUAUUCCAAAGGGCAAGCCUGUUCGAGCGUCAUUUGUACCCUCAAGCUUUGCUUGGUGUUGGGCGUCUUGUCUCUAGCUUUGCUGGAGACUCGCCUUAAAGUAAUUGGCAGCCGGCCUACUGGUUUCGGAGCGCAGCACAAGUCGCACUCUCUAUCAGCAAAGGUCUAGCAUCCACUAAGCCUUUUUUUCAACUUUUGACCUCGGAUCAGGUAGGGAUACCCGCUGAACUUAAGCAUAUCAAUAAGCGGAGGA
rnacentral:misc_RNA from 1 species